CUUAACGUAAAGUACAAUUACAGCACAUAGUACAAGAAGCAUCAGGCAUUGCUGAAGAUGUCUGAAGCCAUCUAUGCCAAGCCAGACAAUGAACAAGAAAGUCAAGUUUGACAGAGGUGAGACGGAGGAGAGAAUUGUGGAUAUCUACGUCAGUGCAGACCCCGAGAGACCACGAGACCAGCACCAAGACAGAAGAUGUAGAAACACACUUCAACUAAAGGACCGGGAGACCAGCACACAGGGCCUGAUAGCACAGGGAAGAGACCCUUCCUAGCUGUUGCGGUGUGUCUGGGCUGCUUGUGUGUUCUACUACUGGCUGGGAUCAUAGGCCAGUCUGUCCACUGCCAACUACAGACCAGAUACAAUAACCUGACUAAAGAGAGAGACCAGCUACAGAGGGAGAAAGAGUCUUAUGGAAAAGUUUCUAAUCCGGGUGA